rnacentral:SRP_RNA from 1 species
CCACUGUAACGGUCGGCGGUGGAACUGUAUAUCCCGAAAUUUCUGACCAGGGUUCAAUCCCUGCGGUCGGACGUGUUUGCGUUAAUGAUGCCAGGUACUUCGGUAUCUGGUGUUUGCAACACGACUUGGUUCAACUGCAAACGAGUUUCAGACGUGCCCCGGUAUUAUAAUCGAUCCUUGCGGGUCGUUCAGGGCAAGAUGUGAGAAGUCCAUCUUGUGCCUGGUACGGCAAUGUUAGACGUGGGUGUCCUGUAUAGGGCUAACCCGUCUCUCGUGCUUCAAACAGCUGAAGGGGAGUUUAAUCCAGCACAGCAGGAGCAACCCGUGACGGAGGCGACUGGGAAGACACUUGUCCUCGGUGGAGAUGUUCGCAUCUCUAGUGUGGUGGGCCUUGGUUUUAUUCCAUUGGAAAGUGGAUAUUCUGGAACCACGCCAUU